rnacentral:rRNA from 1 species
GGCGGACGGGUGAGUAAUACAUCGGAACGUGCCCGAGAGUGGGGGAUAACGAGGCGAAAGCUUUGCUAAUACCGCAUACGAUCUCAGGAUGAAAGCAGGGGACCGCAAGGCCUUGCGCUCACGGAGCGGCCGAUGGCAGAUUAGGUAGUUGGUGGGAUAAAAGCUUACCAAGCCGACGAUCUGUAGCUGGUCUGAGAGGACGACCAGCCACACUGGGACUGAGACACGGCCCAGACUCCUACGGGAGGCAGCAGUGGGGAAUUUUGGACAAUGGGCGCAAGCCUGAUCCAGCCAUGCCGCGUGCAGGAUGAAGGCCUUCGGGUUGUAAACUGCUUUUGUACGGAACGAAAAGACUCUGGUUAAUACCUGGGGUCCAUGACGGUACCGUAAGAAUAAGCACCGGCUAACUACGUGCCAGCAGCCGCGGUAAUACGUAGGGUGCGAGCGUUAAUCGGAAUUACUGGGCGUAAAGCGUGCGCAGGCGGUUAUGUAAGACAGAUGUGAAAUCCCCGGGCUCAACCUGGGAACUGCAUUUGUGACUGCAUAGCUAGAGUACGGCAGAGGGGGAUGGAAUUCCGCGUGUAGCAGUGAAAUGCGUAGAUAUGCGGAGGAACACCGAUGGCGAAGGCAAUCCCCUGGGCCUGUACUGACGCUCAUGCACGAAAGCGGUGGAGGAGCAAACAGGAUUAGAUACCCUGUUAGUCCACGCCCUAAACGAUGUCA